rnacentral:lncRNA from 1 species
AGGCUGGGGUGACUCGGCAGCUAGGGUUUGGAAUCAUCCGAGUGCUUGUUCACUCCUGUGUCUGGCAUCAGAGCUCAGCUGACUCAAAGACUGGGAAUGCUGGCCAGAGAUCUCCAUGUGGCCUCCCAGUGUGGCUUGGCUUCCUGACAGCAUGGCUGCCUCAGGGCAAUCAAACUUCUUACUUGGUUACAGAGACCCAAGAGCAAGUGCCCCAGCAAACAUGGAGGAAUCUGCAUUGCCUUUCAAGACCCAGCUUCAGGAGCCAUACAGCGUCACUUCCCCAGCAAUUUACAGGUCAAAGUAGUCUCAAGCCUGGCAAAAGGAUGAACACAGGUGCCAUGUCUCAACAGAAAAAGAAUCAAAGAAUGUCGAGGCUCUGUCCCACCAUACUGCCUGAGAAAAGGUUGAGCUCUUCUUCCCAAGCAUGCUACUAGAUGCCUGUGGAAAGAAUGAAUUGUCUUCUUAAUAUUUGUCUGUUGACCUAUGAUUGUCUUGCUCUCACUCUCUCCCCUUACCCUGGAGACAGGACUCUGAGCUCCCAGCUGCUCUAGUAUAUAUCAAGUCUUGAUAUAAGAUCUUGACUCCACAAAAUGGAGAACACAGUGGUUCUCUCUUUACAGCAGGGCUCCUAAAUCUGUCAACAGCCCCCUCCUCCAUAAUGAAUGGUCCAUGUCCAUUUUACAAUCUGGUCCCUUAAUUCCCUGUAACUUCUUGUCGGGACUUCUUAAAAGGGUGAAAUACUUUUCUGAAUAUUGGAAAAACCCACAAAAACACAACAGAAGAAUUAAACAAGUUCACAGAAGCUGGUUCACAAUGCCAUUUGAUUAAAAAUAAUUGAACAAGGAAAAUUAAUUCCAGGCAGAACUGAGUAGUUAUUUUCCUAAAUUGGAGAAAAUGCUUCUCUUUCCACCAUCAAAGCCCCUAAAAAUGCCACCAAGAGUGUUGAAUAACAUUAACUUGAGAUGGGAAACCACAUGACUUUACGCCCACACACUCGCCCUUUGGCCUGGGCAUGCUUGAUUCAAGAGAAGAGUUACAUGUGCCUGAGCACCUCCCAUCAAGUUUUAGAAGCUUUGCAUUGCACUGACCAAGAGUUUCUCUUGGAUUAUAGCUAAGGCUGGGCAUAGGCUUGUGUGCAAUCAUGGGACAGAAAGAGGGAGAGACUGCAUCCAAAGGGAGAUCAAAUGAAGCAAAACAAAGACAGGGAAGGACCAGACCCAAACCCAGAUCCCACCGGCAAGCUAGAACAUGGCUUGGGUUGUCUGGAAGCAGUACCCAGACAGAAACCUCAGUGUGGUGAAUCAGUUUCCUUGGGCAUCAAGGGGAUAAAGAAUUUGCUGUAGAGACAGAACGUAUUUAUUCAAGGAAUGGCUGUGAGAAUUGGGCAUGAGCAGCUGUGGGUGGAAAGAGGAUGGAGUAUGUGGCAAGGAAAAGCCACCAUGAAUCCCCAGUCUAGACACUAAUCCCAUCACCAGGGAGAAGCAAACUAUCUAGAAGAAAGGGCAUGUUUGGGAGAACAGGGCCAGUUGAGCAUAGCUCUGAAAUGACUGGUUGUGAGACCCGAGUCAGGUAUUGCAAGACAAAUCUUUUAAAAUCACAGAGAGGAGAAAAUAGACGUAAUUGAAGAAGACAAAUGGUAGUCUACACACAAAUCUUCUUUUCUGUCCUGUAAAUCAAAUUCCACUAUAAACAAUGCCAUAAGAAAAUAUCUACUCCUCUAAACAGCAAAGAUUUCCAAGUACAAAAAAGAAGGCCCCCUUACAUCAGCAAUGCAAUUACAUCACAGCAUGAAAGCAAUGUUCAGAGAAUCUUGUAUUAUUCAGGACGAUCAUCCAUUAUCGUGAGACUGAUGGCAUGCAUCCCCACGCCUGGGCAAGGGAGAAAAGAAGAUUGAUCAGCAAUGUCCUGCAGUAUUCACUUUGAAAGGAUGACACUUUUCCUGUUUUGUCACACACCCUGCUUCUUAAAGGAGCUUGGAAGUCAUCACCCCAUCCUAACAACAAGUGAAAAGCUGAACAGACUGAAAAAUCAACAACUCUUCUGAAGUCCAUCAGAGAAGUGAGGUCACAUGGCAAAUCACUGUCCCCAGAGUUGAAGAGACAGAUAUGCAAAUACAGAGAAUCACAACCUACCAAACCAGAAACCCAUGAGCAGAAACUUCCACAGAAACCAGUACCACAGCAGAGAAAUCUAAGCUACAAUCGACCGAUUUCUGGGAGCUCUGUGUGGACUAGCCUAAGAGUUCAAAACUCCAAGGGGACCCAGUCAUAGAGGAGGACCCACACUUUUAUGACUUUGACCUCCUUGAGAUUGACCAGGUUCUCACACUGAGACAGAAAAAAACCUACUCAUGGCAGUGGGGAGGAAAAGGAACCAUUUUAAAAUAUGCUGGAGCAUUCUGUUCUUCUUAACAAGGCCUGCCCUCAAGGGCUCCCGGGCGUGGUGGCAGGCGCCUGUAAUCCCAGCUACUCGGUAGAUUACUAUAUUACAAUUCCUUCCAGCCAGUACAUCGUGUCCAGCUAUCAAGAAAAAGUACAAGUCAUAGUAAAAGGCAAAGAAAACACACACACACACACACACACACACACACACACACACA